AAAAAUGUUGACUGGAGAUGGAGAUGGUCAAAUGAAUGAUUUAGUUUGCUGCUAUUAUCAUUGGAACUGCGAUUGGUUUAAACGUGGUAAGUGGAGUUAGUUGAGCCAGUCCUCAGAGUGUUGUCAUAACCGAAAGGUAACCUCAAACAGAUUACUUCUUUGGUUGUGAAGAUCGUGUGAUUUUGGAAUAAGAAGUCUGGGCUGAGAUUCCUUUCGUUUGAGUCUCUCGACUGCGGCUUCUUCUGAGCUGAUGUGGGUGGGGCAAGGUUCCGUGGCUUGGUUGUAACUCCGUCAUUCCAUCGCGUCAAGAGAUAGUCGUUUUUACGCGGUCACGGAUUUGCAAAUGAGUGGGAUUUGCCAUCUCCGACGUUAGUUGCAGAUCCGUCACACACGUACAUACACUGCGUUUCUCCCUGUUAUUUUGAUCUUAAUCGCCGCCUCCCUGUUAUUUUGCUCUUAAUCGCAAAGGCAUGUUUAGAACCAUUAAACCUUUUCUGUUACUUUGGAUAUUUAGAUUUUUGA